GUUGUUUGUCUCCCUACUUGGCUGUUUGCUGCUGAUCCUGCACAAGCAGGAUCUCGGGAUCAUCUCAACCUCUCAGGAUCCCGUUUAUCUUAUAAAUUCUGCAUGUUUAUGUGCAGCCACUUCAGAUUGGCUCUCAAUCAUCCCAUUUUCUCAACAGCAGUGAGACAGCCAUUGCACCCUGGGUGCUUCCCGAUUUUGUGCAAGCUUUGUUCUGUCAUCUGACAAAUUAGCUUCUAGAGACUAGCACUGAAGAAAACAGGUGAAAAGAUACAAUAAGAGGACCAUGCAGUGCAGCUCUUCUGCUCUUGGCACAGAAGGAGAAAGUUCUUGAGACUAGCUCUGUUUCCUGUAAAUACAGAUACUGACAGGCUGCUGGUGAAAAUGCAACAGUUCCUGAGAGAAGAAGGAAACAAAGAAGUAAGCAUAUGGUUUGUCAAAAUAAACAAUGCUUAACUUCCUCCUUUCUGUGUCACAGUUUGAGGAACACAGAAAAAGAAAGGGUUGUGCUGAAUUUGUUGUAAACUAUCAGCGGGAACAAUCAGUCUUUAUAAAUCAUGUAGGUAGGGUAUGUCAGUGGUGCAGAUCAACUCUAUUUUCAAAAUAAAGCAUUCCAGAAAUAACAAGAAAAAAAGAAAAGAAAAAAAAAGAAAAAAUUGUUAAAAAAAAAAGGAUUUAAAGCCACAAAAGUGGAAUGCAGUGUUAUGCUUCAGGAAAACAGGUUUUCAAGACCUUCUAAUGCUCUGACUAUGUGAACAGAAUGAACAGUGUACUGAAAGGGACGGUGAUCAAGAGGUACUGAGGAUCUGAGUACGAGCUCUGCUAUUACCAUGCAAGUUUUCAAAACAAAGAAGGAACUAAAGGAAUAUAAACCACAGAACAGAUUCCUAUACAUUUUGCAUUUGAUUUUGCUUUGUCUGCCACUUUACUUGAUAGAGAAUUUCGGCUCCUACAUCUCCAAAGAGCUGCUCCUGUGUGUAGCAGUUGAACAACAAGAGGCAGUGACAGUGGUGGUAAUUCACACAAUGAUCAGUUGGUGUCUGGGUAGAUUAGAUGUUUACACAGCUAAAUUUGAGUGACUGCCCCCUUAAAAGUUAAUCACCAUUGGAAAACUCAAGUUCUCGUUUAGUCAUCCUUGCAAGAUAGUUGUGGAUAUUGGCAACCAAUGACAGGUAUUGCCAUUUUCAAAUUAAAAAAGGGCUGUGGGAACUUGGAACGUAUCAUGUCUGGAGUUAGCCUAGCCACAGCAGAACAUUAGGAGAAAUAACUCAUGGUCUUCGUUGGAUGAAGAAAGUGGAACGGCACUAUAAAGAGAUAUGAGACAAAGAGCGGUGUGUUCUAGAGAGGUACACAGGACUAUGGGUUUGACAGUCCAAGCAACAGAGAAGAAAGAGGUAGUAUGCAGUAAAAGUAAAAUAAUAGAUUUAGGAAAAGAGUUAUGUAUUGAUGGAGAUGGACAGAGAAGGUAUGUGGCCUGCUGUUCCUUCCUAAAGAUUACGAUUUUUAACAACUCAUGCAAAUAUUUGUGCUUGUCAUAAUGAGAAGACCCCACCAUCCUGAAUAUUGUACUUCCCAAAAAUCUUGAAGAAACAAAUAUCUUAAGACCCAAGUGUACCAACCAACUUGUCAUCAUGUAGAUAUUUCCUAAAUUCUUUAAGAAUCAAGCAUGUGUAACUUGACUUAAUGAUAAAAUAAAUAAUGUGAUUGAAUUCUGCAGUUGUGUAUCUCGAGGUAAGAAAAAAUAAAUUAUUGUGGUAUCUUCUGUUUUUUUAUCAAGAGCUUGGAAUGAAAGGCAUUUGUUACUUCUUU